CUACAUUGAACUCUUUUGUAGAGACUCUUGUUGAUAGUCCUAAAAUCAGCCAUGGUGAAGAUUUCUGGAGAAGCCCAGUUAAGACUUUUCAGUGGAGAAAGGGGGUGCCACUUCAAUGGCCCCAUCAGAACUGCUCAGACUUUUCCUCCUUGCCAGCCCUGGGCCUCAGCAUGCUUCCUUGAUCCUUCCAAUAUUACCCUGAUAUGAUCAGAGUCCUCCUGCUAAGCUCAUGUUCACUUCUUAUCAGAGGUAAAAACUGAACACGAUGAUCUGUUCCUAGGGUAAGUUCCAAGAACUGAAAACACAGUCCUCAUAGGAUCAUAUAACUUUUCAAUUUUCCAACUGUUGAAAAUAGUAUCAGUUCUGACUCUGCUGUCCCUGGUUGUUCUGUGAAUGUACCUAACCAACUUCCCUUACACUAAGAGGCAUGCUGCAGAGCACACUGGCUAAAAUUACCCCAUGGGAGCCACCUGUUUAAUUCCUUUUCUGCUGUGUCUCAAAUCUCAGAUCACUUACAGUUCCCUAAAUUCUUUUUCAUGGAAAAAGUUAUUUUUCCAUCUAUUUUUGGAGGUUAAAAUUUGCCUUUUAAAUGUGGUUUCUUAAAAAAUUAAGUCCAAUAGUUUGCUCUGGCAAGUAUCUAAUAUGAAGGCAAGACAGAAAGUUGGAGAAUCAAAUAUUUAGCCAGAUAAUAGGCUAAAAAAUAAUUCAGACAACUCUGCUGAAGGCUUAAAUUGAUUUUUUCUUAACAUGUUGGAUUGGUUGGUUUUCUUAAUGUCUCAUAGAUAUAACUAACCACAACAAUAUUUUGGUUUCAACUAAGAUUUUUGAAAUAGGACUGCUCAAAAAAAUAUUUAACAGUACUGAGUAUAAACUAAUGAGAAAAAUUAAAAUAUUGAGCUCUUUAUAGCAGUUUUUCUGGUCUAAAUAGGGUGGAUCCAUUGAAUGUAACAUGAUAGAGACAUCUGGAAUAAUAAUGGUAAUAAUAACAAUGGUCAUUGGAAUGUUUAUUAUAUGCAGAGUAUUAUUAAUUAUUUCAUUUAUUUCCUUUAAUUCUUACAAAAUCCACCUAAGAAAGUAUAACUGCUCAUUUUUAAGAAACUGAAAUAAAGAAUGUAAGUAUUCUUAAGUUUCUUACUAUUAGAAUGCUAAGUUCUCUUGCAGAAUCUACGUGGAGGGAAAGAAUUCAUUCAGACAAGAGUAGCCCUCUUGGCCAUUUUUCCUGAGGGGACCUCUACAUUUUUGUUCCCCCUCUUGCCUGUUUUUCUUGUCAACUCACUGGGUGCACACAAUUUGGAGUGUGUGGGGCGGGGAGGAACAGUCUUCUAAGUGUUUAGGGUGAAACUGGGUGAAGUGAAGGUGAAGGUGAAGGUCAGGUUCAUUCCCAGAAGGUGCAGAGAACCGACUGAGAUUUAUGCCUGCAAAGGGAGAACAAAGAAAAUAAGAUGUACAUCCAAUUAACAUGGCAGAGAGGUGGGGAGUCAGGGAGGCAGGAAAAGUACAUACAUUUCCUAUUGCUGCUAUAAUAAAUCACCGCAAAUUCAGUGCAUUACAACAAUAUAAACCUCCUUUCUUUUAGUUCUAGAUGACAGACAUCUGAAAUGGGACUCACAGGGCUAAAACCAAGGAUUCUGCAGGUCUGUGUUCCUCUCUGGUGACUCUCUGAGGGAAUCUAUUUUUUUUUUUACUUCAUUUUCUAGAAACAAAUCUACUUCCUUAAUAGCUUUAACGUUGUUAAAGGUCUUUUAGCAACAGGAAAGCUUGAUCCUGAUCUCUGCGCUGUGGAGAUGGGUAGGAGAGAGAAGAGUGGAAUGAGUUACUAGUUACUAUCAUAUGCCUGUCCCAAUGGAACUCUAUUCCACCAAAGUUAGACAUAGACUGACUGUUUGUUCACCAAAAUUUAUUUCCUCUCACUAAAUAUAUGGUUAAACCAUGUCUUCCAGCGUCCUGUAUUUAAGUGAGAUUUUAUGAUUAGCUUUUGCCAGUGGACUGUGGCCAGAGGUGGAAAAGGAGCCAGUGUCUGUGCUCCAUGUUCUUUUUCUUCCUAUUCUAUGGAGAUCUAGGAUGCCAGGUAUAAAGAUGAUUGCAUUAUAAGAAGAAGCCUGGGCCCCCAAAUGACCCUGUGUAGCAGAACCCCAUUACCAUUAUGAUUGGUGGGGGUGAGAGAGAGAGAGCAGUAAUCUUCACUUCAUUAAGCUAUUGAGAUUUUAGGAUUAUCACUCAUGGUAGUUAGCUAAUCUGGAUUAAUACACAAGCAGCAAACAAGUAAAUAAAGUAAUUUCAAGUUUUAAUAAGAGCUAUGAAGGAAACAAGUGCAUAAAAUAAUACAGAAUAACCAGAAGGGAUGCUAUUUCAAAAAGUGUACUCAUGAAAGGCAUUUCUGAUGCAGUGACAUUUCAUCUGAGGCCUGAAAGAUGAGAAGCAGUAGUUCUGAGAAGAGAGAGGGAAGAGCUUUCAGAAUAAAGAAACUAAUAAAUGCAACAAACCUGAAUGGGAAAAACAUGGGACACAUUGGCAGGAAUAGAAAAGGGGCCAGUGUGGCUGGAACCAGAAGCUUAGCAGAGGCUCUCCUUAGGGAAGGGUUCAUGGCAAGCUACCAGCUUUGGCGCAACUCCUUUCAUGCAACCGCUUUUGUGCAAACAUUCGAUUUCUAAGAGGGUGUCUGCUGGAGAAUGUAUGCACAGGAAGCAAUGCCUUCACCUGCUCUUCUAACUAAUGCCACCAGGAGGGGCAUAGUGAGGAAGAGUGGCACAGUACAUGGUUGGCAAGAGAGGAAGCAGGGGGUGGCUAUUGCAAAAGUCUAGACAAGUGAUUGUGGUGGCUUAGACUAGGUUGAUUGCAGCAUUGAUGGACAGAAGUAACCAGAUUUGAGAUGCAAUAAUUGUUGUUUGCAGUACUGGAGGUCCAACCCAGGGCCUUUGCUUUGUAAAUAGUAACAAUGUUUCUAUAUUGCUAUCUAGUUCAGAAUCGAUAUGACCUUAGGUUGUUUUUGUUUGCAGUGCCAGAGAUCAAACCCAGGGAGUCCCACAUGCUAGGCAAAAGUUCUACCGCUAAACCACACACAAGCCUGAGUGCAUUUUAAGUGCAGAGCCAGCUGGACAUCAAAUAUGGAUACUGAAGUUGAAAGCGAACGAAAAAAUUAAGUAUGAUGUCUAAUUUUUGGCUUGCACUUGAGAGGAUGGUGUAACAUUUACUAAGAGACAAUGUGGAAGGAAUAGUCUUCAGAAACAAGAUGAGGAGAAUCUUAGCUGUGUUGGGUUUGAGGCUAAGUACACCCAAUAGGAGGCAUCUAACAGGAAGAAGGAUAUGGGUGUGGAGGAGCAAACAGAGCAGUACUAGAUUUAAAUGUGCAACUGUCAGGUGUUUUCAUAACCACAGUACUAGGUGAGACCAUCAGAGAGAGUGUGGCUUGAGAGAAGGAGCUCAGUAGAAACCUUAGCAUUCUAGUAUUUAAAGAUCUAUAGAAAGAAGAUCAGUGAAAGAGAGACUGAGCAGGUUUGGUCCAACCAGGGAUGGCCAAGGAGGAACAUGAGAAAUGUAUUUUUUUCAUUAAUAAAAUAAAAUUUAAAAAAUAAUAUGUGUUCUUAGUUUUAAAAGUAACAUUGCUCUACAGGGUUCACAGUAAAAGUAACAGUAGCCUUCUCCACCCUUCUCCCUUACUGAUUCCUGAUUCCCAGAGGGAACCACUUGCACUUGGUCAGAAUCUCUAAACAGCUGUUGUAUCUGCAAUUUCUUGCCCUAUCUCUUGGCACCAAUACACUUUCUUUCACUAAAGGUGGUUUCUCUUUAUCUUGUACAUACUCACUCCCACAUGUGCUCACAUGUGCACACUCAUAGACACUUCUUCACUAUCCUCCAAUUCUGGUUAAAGGUGGCCCCUGGUUUACCUUCACAGACUUUAACGAUGGUGUGAAAGCCAUAUGCAUUCAGCAAAAAC
rnacentral:lncRNA from 1 species